rnacentral:rRNA from 1 species
GACAGAGGCCUCAAGCGUUAGGCGGAAUCACUGGGCUUAAAGCGUGUGUAGGCGGAUCGUUAAGUGUCUUGUGAAAUCCCACGGCUCACCCGUGGAACUGCUGGGCAUACUGGGCGUCUUGGGCCAACUAGGGGCAGCCGGAACAAGCGGUGGAGCGGUGAAAUGCGUAGAGAUCGGCAGGAACACCCAGGGGGAAACCAGCCGACUGGGCAUCUGCUGACGCUGAGGUGCGAGAGCGUGGGGGAGCGAACCGG